AUUGAACGCUGGCGGCAGGCCUAACACAUGCAAGUCGAACGAGUGGCGGACGGGUGAGUAAUGUCUGGGAAACUGCCCGAUGGAGGGGGAUAACUACUGGAAACGGUAGCUAAUACCGCAUACCAUCAGAUGUGCCCAGAUGGGAUUAGCUAGUAGGUGGGGUAACGGCUCACCUAGGCGACGAUCCCUAGCUGGUCUGAGAGGAUGACCAGCAACAAGGUAACGGAGACACGGUCCAGACUCCUACGGGAGGCAGCAGUGGGGAAUAUUGAACAAUGGGCGAAAGCCUGAGGCAGCCAUGCCGCGUGUAUGAAGAAGGCCUUCGGGUUGUAAAGUACUUUCAGCGGGGAGGCGUUACCCGCAGAAGAAGCACCGGCUAACUCCGUGCCAGCCGCCGCGGUAAUUC
rnacentral:rRNA from 1 species